UUGCUCUUCAACGAGGAAUGCCUAGUAAGCGCGUGUCAUCAGCUUGCGUUGAUUACGUCCCUGCCCUUUGUACACACCGCCCGUCGCUACUACCGAUUGAAUGGCUCAGUGAGGCGUUCGGACUGGCCCAGAGAGGUGGGAAACUACCACUCAGGGCCGGAAAGUUCUCCAAACUCGGUCAUUUAGAGGAAGUAAAAGUCGUAACAAGGUCUCCGUUGGUGAACCAGCGGAGGGAUCAUUACCGAGUUUACAAACUCCCAAACCCUUUGUGAACCUUACCGUAUCGUUGCUUCGGCGGGACCGCCCCGGCGCCCUCGGGCCCGGAACCAGGCGCCCGCCGGAGGCCCCAAACCCUCAUGUCUUUAGUGGUUUUCUCCUCUGAGUGACACAUAAACAAAUAAAUAAAAACUUUCAACAACGGAUCUCUUGGUUCUGGCAUCGAUGAAGAACGCAGCGAAAUGCGAUAAGUAAUGUGAAUUGCAGAAUUCAGUGAAUCAUCGAAUCUUUGAACGCACAUUGCGCCCGCCAGUAUUCUGGCGGGCAUGCCUGUUCGAGCGUCAUUUCAACCCUCAGGCCCCCAGUGCCUGGUGUUGGGGAUCGGCAGCAGGGCGUCAAGCCCGCCGGCCCCGAAAUCUAGUGGCGGUCUCGCUGUAGUCCUCCUCUGCGUAGUAGCACAACCUCGCAGUUGGAACGCGGCGGUGGCCAUGCCGUUAAACACCCCACUUCUGAAAGUUGACCUCGGAUCAGGUAGGAAUACCCGCUGAACUUAAGCAUAUCAAUAAGCGGAGGA
rnacentral:rRNA from 1 species